GUCUAUGGAUCUCACAAUUUUAUUUUUCAGAUUAUACCUCACAUGAAAAGAAUGAUCUCUUCCUAUAUAAGCCAAAGCCUCUCUUAACUCACAAUCAAUGUUGAACUAAUAAUACUCUCUUUUUUGCACCAUAACAUAACUCAUUAGUCAAGGAGGAGUUUAUUUAUAGAUAGGAGGUGUCCUCCUUAUUUUUAUCACAAACUAGUAUACAGACAAGAUG
rnacentral:lncRNA from 1 species